UCCUACGGGAGGCAGCAGUGGGGAAUAUUGCGCAAUGGGGGGAACCCUGACGCAGCCAUGCCGCGUGAAUGAAGAAGGCCUUCGGGUUGUAAAGUUCUUUCGGUAAUGAGGAAGGGAUGUUGUUAAAUAGAUAGCAUCAUCGACGUUAAUUACAGAAGAAGCACCGGCUAACUCCGUGCCAGCAGCCGCGGUAAUACGGAGGGUGCGAGCGUUAAUCGGAAUAACUGGGCGUAAAGGGCACGCAGGCGGACUUUUAAGUGAGAUGUGAAAUCCCCGAGCUUAACUUGGGAACUGCAUUUCAGACUGGGAGUCUAGAGUACUUUAGGGAGGGGUAGAAUUCCACGUGUAGCGGUGAAAUGCGUAGAGAUGUGGAGGAAUACCGAAGGCGGAGGCAGCCCCUUGGGAAUGUACUGACGCUCAUGUGCGAAAGCGUGGGGAGCAAACAGGAUUAGAUACCCUGGUAGUCC
rnacentral:rRNA from 1 species